GAUGAACGCUAGCGGCAGGCCUAACACACGCAAGUCGAACGGUAACAGGAAGAGCUUGCUCUUCGCUGACGAGUGGCGCACGGGUGCGUAACGCGUAUGCAACCUACCUCUAACUGAAGAAUAGCCCGAAGAAAUUCGGAUUAAUACUUCAUAGUAUUGCGAUUUGGCAUCAUUUUGCAAUUAAAGUUUUAAUGGUUAGAGAUGGGCAUGCGUCCCAUUAGUCUGUUGGUGAGGUAACGGCUCACCAAAACUACGAUGGGUAGGGGGCCUGAGAGGGUAAUCCCCCACACUGGUACUGAGACACGGACCAG
rnacentral:rRNA from 1 species